GGUAGUGUGGCAUAAUGGAUUGAGUAUUGGACUAUGACUCUGGAGGCAAGAGUUCGAAUCCCAUCUUGGCCA